UGAUGUUACAAUUAUUUGUAGAUAUGUUCAUCUGGAUCAGUAACUCUUGACUACAUAACAACUUCCACAAUCUCAAUCAAAGAAAGGAAACAACCUUUCAUCCUUGUUCCAACUAAUGGCAUUGCAAAAUGGUGAAGGCACCGCGGGGCUCCUUUGACAUAUCAGCAACAGACAGCCAAAUGAUUGUGUCAGCACCCUGAGCGCAAGUACGCAGACGGUCCUUCAUUUUGCGAUGGAAACCUGGCAUUGAUGUCUGCACUGCUGGAGUAUCUGCCCAACCUGAAAUAUAAUGAUUGCCUUACAUGAACUGGAGCAGUUUUAAUUGUUUUUGCAGUUGUCCAUUUGUCACAUCAGUGUCCAAUCAUGGUGGUGUCAGAUAACUAUUGUAUCACCACAAAAAAGUGUAAUUAGAUUCUGUUAUAUAAAUAAUUUAAAGGUUUCCUCUGAUCAAAAAUAAUACCUGAGAAGUAUUAACCAAGAAAAAAUAAUAAAUGGAAGAAAUGUGUAUGUUACAUGAGAGUAACGGCAGUGUGCAAAGGGUGAAGUCUCUGUGGCCUUUACCAGUUUUAAUGACAUGAGGCAACUAUGGCCCAUGCUGGCACAUAGUUUACCACAACAUUUUCCCAAGGAUAUGGUGAUGUUAAUCUACACCCUUGCUCAUGCAGGGCAAGACACUGAAAAUUAACUAUCUUGUUAAUAGAAGAACAAUAAAGCAAAAAGCUUAAACCUUA